rnacentral:rRNA from 1 species
GACGAACGCUGGCGGCGUGCUUAACACAUGCAAGUCGAACGGAAAGGCCCUGCUUUUGUGGGGUGCUCGAGUGGCGAACGGGUGAGUAACACGUGAGUAACCUGCCCUUGACUUUGGGAUAACUUCAGGAAACUGGGGCGAAUACCGGAUAGGAGCUCCUGCUGCAUGGUGGGGGUUGGAAAGUUUCGGCGGUUGGGGAUGGACUCGCGGCUUAUCAGCUUGUUGGUGGGGUAGUGGCUUACCAAGGCUUUGACGGGUAGCCGGCCUGAGAGGGUGAACGGCCACAUUGGGACUGCGGUACGGCCCAGAAUCCUACGGGAGGCAGCAGUGGGGAAUCUUGCGCAAUGGGCGGAAGCCUGAUGCAGCAACGCCGCGUGCGGGAUGACGGCCUUCGGGUUGUAAACCGCUUUCGCCUGUGACGAAGCGUGAGUGACGGUAAUGGGUAAAGAAGCACCGGCUAACUACGUG